rnacentral:misc_RNA from 1 species
UCAAACUUGGUCAUUUAGAGGAAGUAAAAGUCGUAACAAGGUCUCCGUUGGUGAACCAGCGGAGGGAUCAUUACCGAGUUCCCGAGACUCCCACACCCACCGCGAACCCUACCCAGCCGUUGCUUCGGCGGGGCGGCCCCGGGCCCCAGGCCCGGAACCAGGCGCCCGCCGGAGGCCCCCAAACCUCCCGUCUCCGCCCCCGGAAUCCCUCUGAGUGGCGCCCCAGCGGCGCGAGAAGAAGAAUGAAUCAAAACUUUCAACAACGGAUCUCUUGGUUCUGGCAUCGAUGAAGAACGCAGC